rnacentral:siRNA from 1 species
CAAAGUAUAAUGAAUAAGCUGCCA